GCGAAUGCUGGCGGCAGGCCUAAUACAUGCAAGUCGAGCGCACCUUCGGGUGAGCGGCGGACGGGUGAGUAACGCGUGGGAAUAUGCCCUUUGGUACGGAACAACUGAGGGAAACUUCAGCUAAUACCGUAUGUGCCCUUCGGGGGAAAGAUUUAUCGCCAUUGGAGUAGCCCGCGUUGGAUUAGCUAGUUGGUGGGGUAAAGGCCCACCAAGGCGACGAUCCAUAGCUGGUCUGAGAGGAUGAUCAGCCACACUGGGACUGAGACACGGCCCAGACUCCUACGGGAGGCAGCAGUAGGGAAUCUUGCGCAAUGGGCGAAAGCCUGACGCAGCCAUGCCGCGUGAAUGAUGAAGGUCUUAGGAUUGUAAAAUUCUUUCACCGGGGAAGAUAAUGACGGUACCCGGAGAAGAAGCCCCGGCUAACUUCGU
rnacentral:rRNA from 1 species